AGAGUUUGAUCCUGGCUCAGAACGAACGCUGGCGGCAGGCCUAACACAUGCAAGUCGAACGAGAAGCUUCUUUCGGGAAGUGGAGAGUGGCGCACGGGUGAGUAACGCGUGGGAAUUUACCUUCUGGUACGGGAUAACGUUUGGAAACGAACGCUAAUACGGUAUGAGCUCUACGGAGUAAAGAUUUAUCGCCAGAGGAUGAGCCCGCGUAGGAUUAGAUAGUUGGUGGGGUAACGGCCUACCAAGUCGACGAUCUUUAGCUGUUCUGAGAGGAAGAUCAGCCACACUGGAACUGAGACACGGUCCAGACUCCUACGGGAGGCAGCAGUGGGGAAUAUUGGACAAUGGGGGCAACCCUGAUCCAGCCAUGCCGCGUGAGUGAAGAAGGCCUUAGGGUUGUAAAGCUCUUUCGCUAGGGAAGAUAAUGACGGU
rnacentral:rRNA from 1 species